AUGUUACAGUGUCAGGCAGCUGUUCCAAGAAAGGACAAGUCUGAACCUUUUUUGGGACUUGUGGAUAGAUCACAAGCUGUUCUGUUAAGUGAAAAAAAAGAAGAUGAAGUGGUGCCUCUCUUUACUCUUUUAGAAGAGAUUGAGGGGAGAGAGGAAGAAGACCAAGAUCCAUCUGUCAGAAGACCUUUAACAGAAGAUGUAAAGAAUCUGCAUGUUACUUUAAGCGAGAAUGACCACUGUCAGUCUUUAUUAAGUCCUGUGGAAUUAGAGGAGGAGUAUCAGAAACUUUCUUCGUUAAACGUCAAGGAAAUAUUGCCACUAGCUAUAGAAAGAGAUGUAUUUGCGAUAGAGCAAGAACAGACAUAUUCAGAAACAAAAAUAACACAUCUAAACUCUUCUUUAACUAAAGCUCUUGAAGAGUCUUUUAUAGACACAUUUAUCAACUUAAUAAUCCUGAAAUCAGUAGUAGGCAAAAGCCUUGAGGAAGUUAUCAAAGACAGACUUUCAGAAGUAACGGUAGUCACAAGAGAAGUGGGGGAGGAAUAUCAGAAUCUGCAGAGUAUUACAAGUAUAUCACCUGUUGUUUUGGAGAGCAGCAUAUAUGAAGGUCAAAACAUUUCAAGGAAAAGACUUCCUGCUGAAGGACAAACAGUUAAUCUCAAGUCUGUUGUAAGUCAAAACCUACAAGAUCAUCCCAUGGAGAGAUUUUUUGAAAGAGGUAUGAUCCCAGAUUUAGAAUUAGGAAAGAAGCACCAGGAUUUAUCAUCACAGGGAAUUCAGGAGGGAUUAUCAGUGGUUUCAGAGCCAGAAUUAGCUGGCAAAUCUUGUAAUUCUGAGGAGAGAACUUCAGAAACAGAUGUGACAAGUCUUAGAUAUGUUUUGAAACAGAAUCAGUCUGACUUUUCUGUAGAGAGGCUUAUAGAAAUGAGGUUAAUGGAAGAAGUGCAAUUAGAAAAGAAACAUCAACACUCCUUUCUGCUAAAUGCUGAUACGAGACAACCAAAACAUGAAGCAGAUUUUUCUGAUGGAAGGAAAGAGAAUCAAUCAGAAAUGGAAAUAUCAGUAAUAAAAGCUUUGAGUUGUGACCUGCAAGAUCAUUCUCCUCAGAGAUUUUCAGAAACUGGAUUAGUCAAAGGGACUGAUACAGAAUAUGAAUGCCAAAAGAUACCUUUGCAAAGUGUUAAAGAAACGCAACUAGUAGAUACAGGAAUGRAUUUACCUGAGAGAGAAAACAGUUGUGAGGGAAAUACUGCCAAAACAAAAAUAAUAAAUCUUAAAUCUCCAUUACCUCAAAAUCUGCAAAAAUAUACAUUAGAAAGACUUUCAGAAAUGAAAUUAGAAAAGGAUUCACAGAAUACAUCACUGGACGUCAUUGAUGUCAGAUUGCCAAUAGAUGUGGAGACGGAGCUGCCUAGGAUAGGACAAGAUCAUCACCAGCAGAAGCCUUCAGAACUGAAAGUAAAAUCUGUUUCAAACAAAGCUCUUCAAGAUACUCUUAUAGAAAGAGUUUUGGAAACAGAAAUAAUGAAUCUAAAGCCUCUUUUAAAUAAAUUUCUCCAACAUCAUCUUACAGAGAAACUUUCACAGCAAAUGAUGGAAGAGAAACUGAAGAAAGUACAUCAGAAUUUAUCCUCGUUGAACGUUAGAGAAGGAGAGCUUGUGGCACAAGAGACAGAUUUACUGGACAUAAACCAGGUUAACUGUAGUGAAAAUCUAGCUGAACAAUCUAUAAUAAAAGGAAAACCUGCAUUAAGUGAGAGUAUGCAAAACUUUCUUCUAGAGCUACUCCCAGAAAAAGAAAUUAUGACUCUAAAAUCAGUUUUAAGCAAAAAAAUCCAGGAUCAUCUUGUUGAAAGACUUGCAAAAAUAGGGUUAAUCACAGAAGAAGAAUUAAGGAAGGUGAAAGAGAACUUGCUUCUGUUAAGAGCUAGUAGAGGACAGUCAAAAGACAGGGAAUCUGGGCUGCUCAAGGAAGAACAAAGUCCUACUCUGAAAUCUUUAUUAUACCCAAAUCUUCAGGAUAAACCUUCAGAAACAAAACAUUUAGAGUCUCUUACAGGCAAAAUGCCAGAAGACUCUAAAGGCAGUAUUUCUGAAACAGAAGUAACAAGUUCAGAAUCUAUUUUAAGCAACACCUUAGAAGAUCUUCGUAAAGAAAUUAUUUUGGAAAUUGAAAUAUUCAAUAAAAUUGAAGAAGAGAGUGAUGCAGAGAAGCCUCAAACGGAUAGUGAUACAGAGACAAGAAAUGAAAAACAAGAACUUUGUGAGGAUGAAUUUCCAGAUCCAGUAGCAGAUGUAGUGGUUAACGUAAAUAAUGAAAAACAAACUAAUAAUUUAAUGCACUUUCUUAAAAAAAAAAAUUUUGAAAAAGAAAAUCAAGACAAAAAGGGUGAAAUAGCUCAGUCAAAAAAAGAUUUUGAAAGACCAUUAAGUCAGAAGGCUCAUGAUGAGAUAGAAACAUCUGAAACAGUAAAUUUUUCUUCUUUUUCAAAUGCUUGUGAUGCUAUUAUUCAAACAGACCUGAUAGAAUACCCCUGCAGGCUCCAGCCCUCCCUUCCAGCAAGUGGUCCAAGGUCUAUCUUUUUACAAGCAGAGCCUGAGGAAGAAGAAAAGUCAUCAAGGAAUCUUGACAGGAAGUCAAGAGACAAACUGUGUGGUAAGGCUCCUAAGAAAUAUGCCAUGCCAUACCACGAACAUCUGGGUCAAAUGUUAACAGGUACUCAGCGUAAGAAGGAAAAACAAACUAAUUUGAGGAAAUCUAGGGAGGGUGUAAAGGAGAAACAUGGAAAGUAUUCUGAACCAACUCCUUCAGCAUCACCUGCUAUGGGAUCCAAGGAGUCAAAAUCAUCUGUAUGCUCCCAUAACAGGGAAAACUUGAAGCAGAAAGCAGAGCAGGAAAAAGAACAUGACAACAAACCAAAGAAAUCACUUAGUAAGUCCGUGAGAGCUCCAUCAGAUACUGCAGAACAACAGCCACCACAAACCGUGAAAGCAUUUAAAGAAAACUCAUCCUCAAAUGGCUUUCCAGAUCCAGGUUCCAGACCUAUGCCCAUGCCAUGUGAAAAAGAAAAUAUGCCUGUAAGAAUAUUUUCUUUCAGUUGUCCACAUCAAACAUAUGUGAACUAG
rnacentral:lncRNA from 1 species